UACGGGGGGAGCAAGCGUUGUUCGGAUUUACUGGGCGUAAAGGGCGCGUAGGCGGCCUCUGCACGUCGACUGUGAAAUCUCCGGGCUUAACCCGGAAAGGUCAGCCGAUACUGCAGGGCUAGAGUGCAGAAGGGGCAACUGGAAUUCUCGGUGUAGCGGUGAAAUGCGUAGAUAUCGAGAGGAACACCUGCGGCGAAGGCGGGUUGCUGGGCUGACACUGACGCUGACAGCGCGAAAGCUAGGGGAGCGAACGGG
rnacentral:rRNA from 1 species